UACGGAGGGUGCAAGCGUUAUCCGGAUUCACUGGGUUUAAAGGGUGCGUAGGCGGGCAUUUAAGUCAGUGGUGAAAUACCUGAGCUUAACUUGGGAACUGCCAUCGAUACUAUUUGUCUUGAAUGUCGUGGAGGUUAGCGGAAUAUGUCAUGUAGCGGUGAAAUGCUUAGAUAUGACAUAGAACACCUAUUGCGAAGGCAGCUAACUACGCGAAUAUUGACGCUGAGGCACGAAAGCGUGGGGAUCAAACAGG
rnacentral:rRNA from 1 species